rnacentral:rRNA from 1 species
UACACUCCUACGGGAGGCAGCAGUGGGGAAUAUUGGACAAUGGGCGCAAGCCUGAUCCAGCCAUGCCGCGUGAGUGAUGAAGGCCCUAGGGUUGUAAAGCUCUUUCACCGGUGAAGAUAAUGACGGUAACCGGAGAAGAAGCCCCGGCUAACUUCGUGCCAGCAGCCGCGGUAAUACGAAGGGGGCUAGCGUUGUUCGGAUUUACUGGGCGUAAAGCGCACGUAGGCGGACUAUUAAGUCAGGGGUGAAAUCCCGGGGCUCAACCCCGGAACUGCCUUUGAUACUGGUAGUCUUGAGUUCGAGAGAGGUGAGUGGAAUUCCGAGUGUAGAGGUGAAAUUCGUAGAUAUUCGGAGGAACACCAGUGGCGAAGGCGGCUCACUGGCUCGAUACUGACUCUGAGGUGCGAAAGCGUGGGGAGCAAACAGGAUUAGAAACCCCUGUAGUCCCA